UACGUAGGGGGCAAGCGUUGUCCGGAUUUAUUGGGCGUAAAGCGCACGCAGGCGGUCUCUUAAGUUUCGAGUGACAGGUGGUGGCUCAACUGCCACAGGCCUUGGAAAACUGGGAGACUUGAGGACUUCAGAGGGAUGCGGAAUUCCAGGUGGAGCGGUGAAAUGCGUAGAUAUCUGGAGGAACACCGGUGGCGAAGGGCGGCAUCCUGGACCGACACUGACGCUGAGGAGCGAAAGCCAGGGGAGCAAACGGG
rnacentral:rRNA from 1 species